rnacentral:rRNA from 1 species
CGCCUCUUGACAAACUUAUAAGAGGUCCAGCCUGCCCAGUGACUUUGUUCAACGGCCGCGGUAUCCUAACCGUGCGAAGGUAGCGUAAUCACUUGUUCUUUAAAUGAGGACUAGUAUGAAUGGCAUCACGAGGGUUAUACUGUCUCCUUUUUCUAAUCAGUGAAACUAAUCUUCCCGUGAAGAAACGGGAAUAGUAAUAUAAGACGAGAAGACCCUAUGGAGCUUUAAACAAAUAUACAAUUGCCCACUUAAUUAAAAAUUUCAGAAGAUAAAUACUUACCCAGGCACUUUGAUAUAAAGUUUUAGGUUGGGGUGACCGCGGAGCAAAAGACAACCUCCACAGUGAAAGGGGGGAUCCCCCUAAACUAAGGGCUACUACCCUAAGUAUCAAUAAACUGACACCAGUUGACCCAAUACACUUGAUCAACGAACCAAGUUACCCUAGGGAUAACAGCGCAAUCCACUUCAAGAGCUCCUAUCGACAAGUGGGUUUACGACCUCGAUGUUGGAUCAGGGUAUCCUAGUGGUGCAGCCGCUACUAACGGUUCGUUUGUUCAACGAUUAAAACCCU